rnacentral:rRNA from 1 species
CAAGAGAACGUGAAAUCGUUGAAGUGGAACCGGAGAGAGUUGACGUAGUAUGGUGGAUAAGUAUUGCAAGAAUCGCUUCAAACAAUGAAUGUGAUCGAGUAAUAUGUACGUCACCAAAGACUGCGCUGACAGCAUCGACUACACGCUCUGAACUGUGUUGACAUGUUGCCUAUUCUAGUAUAUAGAAUGGUGUCUUGUGUUACGUGGUGAAGUUUGUUGUUAUGUUGUUGAUGUUGAUAAUUAUGAUUAUACACCAAGUAUAAUUAUGUCAGUGUAAAAGUCAACCACCUCUCCGACCCGUCUUGAAACACGGACCGAGGAGUGUAACUUGUACGCGAGUCAUUGGGUGGAAAAACCUUAAGGCGAAACGAAAGUGAAGGCACGGUUAACCGGCUGACAUGGGAAACGUGCGGUAUUGUUAGCGAGACGUUACACCAUGGCCCUGUCUUGUCUGCAUGCAGAUGGGCAGCGGUAGAGCGUACAGGUUGCGACCCGAAAGAUGGUGAACUAUGCCUGAGCAGGACGAAGUCAGAGGAAACUCUGGUGGAAGUCCGUAUCGGUUCUGACGUGCAAAUCGAUCGAUAGACUUGGG